ACAGGGAAUAGGGGCCAUUUGAGAUUAGGCCUCUACCACCUCCAGAGGGCAGGGCACCCAUGGCGCCACUCCUCCCCCAAAACAAGCACCUAAACUGAGCCAUAUUUGCGUGUCUGACCGGGGGAUUCCUCCAGACCCCAACCCAAACCCACUCACUACUCAGUCAGAAGUGCACUACUUUGUGCAUUAUAUAGGGAAUAAGGCACCAUUUUGGACGCGAACUGGCACUACUUAACAAUGGAUUGAGGAUUCAAUUGGUUGAUAUUGGAACAGGUCUUUACAUGGUAAAGGUAGACAGUUAGGGGAACAAGUCUUUACAUGGUAAAGGUAGACAGUUAGGUGAACUCACUUCAUUCACAGGGGAACAAGUCUUUACAUGGUAAAGGUAGACAGUCAGGGGAACAAGCAUCACCCACCUGGAUAUGUACUGGACUACAGUAAGAUGACAAACACAGCAUCAAAUCAACUUUGGACAUUUUCUGUUAUUUUUAUAAAGAAAGUCCACUUUCUGUUUUCCGCCAGGGAUUGAUUGGACAUUGUGGGGACGACGCAGAGAGACUUUUGAGGAGUGGAACUGAAUGGAACAAACAGUAUUAACGAAACAAGACACCUUGGAAUCAUAGAUCAUGAAACAACACCAGGAGGACCUUUCUUUGGGCCCAGAGUGUUGUUUCAGGUGAAUGAAGAAGGAGAGGAGGAGGAAGAUGAGGAGGAGGAAGAUAUUUCUACAGUAUUAAGUAAUAAUGAGCUCAAUUCAAUCAAAUUCGCCUUCCGGUAUUUACGCAGUAGUUGUUUAUUUUACCCUUAGUCAAAUGAUCAAAUGACAUGACAGAAUAGUUAUAGGGGUGAUGUAAACACCUACCACUGACAGGUAGACUCCACGGCCAGGUAGACUCCACGGCCAGGUAGACUCCACGGCCAGGUAGACUCCACGGCCAGGUAGACUCCACGGACAGGUAGACUCCACGGACAGGUAGACUCCAUGGCCAGGUAGACACUACGGCCAGGUAGACACCACGGCCAGGUAGACACCACGGCCAGGUAGACACCACGGCCAGGUAGACACCACAGCCAGGUAGACUCCACAGCCAGGUAGACACCACAGCCAGGUAGACACCACAGCCAGGUAGACUCCACAGCCAGGUAGACACCACAGCCAGGUAGACUCCACAGCCAGGUAGACUCCACGGACAGGUAGACUCCACGGACAGGUAGACUCCACGGCCAGGUAGACUCCACGGCCAGGUAGACUCCACGGCCAGGUAGACUCCACAGCCAGGUAGACACCACGGCCAGGUAGACACCACGGCCAGGUAGACUCCACGGCCAGGUAGACUCCACGGCCAGGUAGACUCCACGGCCAGGUAGACUCCACAGCCAGGUAGACACCACAGCCAGGUAGACUCAAAUGGUUUAGACUCCACAGCCAGGUAGACUCAAAUGGUUUAGACUCCACAGCCAGGUAGACUCCACAGCCAGGUAGACUCCACAGCCAGGUAGACUCCACAGCCAGGUAGAUGCUUCCAGCUCACAGACGUUUGGGUACGUGAAGACACUGUGUAAACAUUUCUAAAUGCAAGUUUGCUUGAAUACCAGCCCAUGUGUCACUAUUGAAGAGGAAUUGGGAGAGGGGUUAAACAUCCCCACAGAGUUUAAUAAACAACAUCCAUCUGGUUUUGUAGUACUAUAUAGAUCUGUAACUAUCUUUUUUUAGUUUUCACUACAGACUUGUGACUUUGUCUCGUCCUACGGAUGGUUACAACAAAUUUAUUUUGUAUUGUAGUUUUUGUUUUGUUGUUUUUGUUAAAGCUGUGUUACUGUUUUAAUGUGUACAAUCAACUCAAGUCAAAUGGUUUACAGUUGACUUUACACCCCCCGUUAUCCACGUGUCACUCACUCCUCUGUCAUGUUUGUGUUCCUGCAGUCUCUCUCUCUAUUUAACUCUAUCAAUCCUUACUGGGUUGCUGGACUCUCGUCUUCUCAUUAUCUCAUAAUCAUAAGUGGGGCUAGGAGUAUUUCAUUUCCUGACCAUGUGACCUGACCAGGAGAAACUCUAAACUCCUAGCCCUAAUCCUCAGUACCAAGGCC
ensembl:lncRNA